GACGAACGCUGGCGGCGUGCUUAACACAUGCAAGUCGAACGGAAAGGCCCUGCUUUUGUGGGGUGCUCGAGUGGCGAACGGGUGAGUAACACGUGAGUAACCUGCCCUUGACUUUGGGAUAACUUCAGGAAACUGGGGCUAAUACCGGAUAGGAGCUCCUGCUGCAUGGUGGGGGUUGGAAAGUUUCGGCGGUUGGGGAUGGACUCGCGGCUUAUCAGCUUGUUGGUGGGGUAGUGGCUUACCAAGGCUUUGACGGGUAGCCGGCCUGAGAGGGUGACCGGCCACAUUGGGACUGAGAUACGGCCCAGACUCCUACGGGAGGCAGCAGUGGGGAAUAUUGCACAAUGGGCGGAAGCCUGAUGCAGCAACGCCGCGUGCGGGAUGACGGCCUUCGGGUUGUAAACCGCUUCCGCCUGUGACGAAGCGUGAGUGACGGGAAUGGGUAAAGAAGCACCGGCUAACUACG
rnacentral:rRNA from 1 species